rnacentral:misc_RNA from 1 species
UUUGGUAACAUGAGCUAAACAUUUAAAGAGUAUUUAAUUAAAUAAUUUAUCUUAAAGCGCCAUAAGUACAGUUAUUGUUUGAAAAAAAAAUCUGAAGUGAAAGAUUUUAACACGCGCAGAAAAGUAGUUUCUGGCCUAAUUUUAAACCGACAUGAUAUGAGUAAAAUAACAAUAUGAAAGAGAAUACAGUUAUGUCUGACUUUAUGCUUUUUAACGAUAUUUUUGAUGAGAUAGCUACAAAAGAAAAAGAAGAGGCAAACUUUUUUGACUCUGGACCAAAUCAUCCGAGCCAUGAAUUUACUCAAGAAUAUAUAGACAUGGAUAUAACUAAAGACUCUGAACCAGCUCAUGAUCCCAGCAAUACGUUUGUACAAGAAUAUAAAGAAACAGAUACAGGUAUAACUAAAGACUCUGUACAAGAAUAUAAAGAAACAGAUACAGGUAUAACUAAAGACUCUGUACAAUUUAAUGAUCCAAACCAUGUAAUCACAUAUAAAAAUGAAGAAACAGAUUUAGAUGUUUUUAACAAUGAAGAGGGUAAUGAAAUUAACAAUGUUCACUUCGAUACCCACUCCAAUGAAAGCAGUUUUAGCAAACAUGCCAAAGAUCUUUCCACUUCUAAAAAGGAAUCCAUCGAAAACUUGUCAAACGAUAAGUACUCUGCAAAAAACUUAUAUAUGGAAGACAUUUUUUCCAUCUCUUCCCAUUCAAGUGAAGGUUCUUUCUCAUAUGGCAACAAAUUCGAUUACAAGUAUUUACAUGACAUAAGUGAUAGCGAUUUAAAUUCAAGAAAUAGUUUUAUAUCAAGCAAAAAAAAUAAACAUAUAAAUGAUGAAAACAGUAUUUUAUCAAAAGAGGAAUACGAAGAGCACAACAGUGAAACGGAAGAGGGGAAAAAUAUCAAGUUCAUGUUACGUUACAAUAAUUUUUGUGCGUUUCUGGAAGAAGUUAAAAAAAAAGUUAUCGAUCAACCUGAAGAAAAGUUUGAGAUUGAAUUUAAAAAUAAAACUGAUUGCAAAAUAGAAAAUAAAAUUGAUAAAAAAAAAGACAUCGGGAAAAAAAAAAGUAAAUCAAAAGAAAAAAAUAUUCCAUUAAAAAAGCCCUACGUCACAUUAAAAUUAAACGGGUUUAGCAAUGAUAAUUUUUUUAAGGACGAAAACUUUACGAUAGAAAAAAAACCAAAAAUAAACCUAAAGUUACACUAUGGUUUAAAUAAAGAAAAAAAACUAGACUCACAACUAAAAGCAACGGAUAAUCCUGCCAUAUUGUCAUGGUUAUCGGAAAAAGAAAGAAAUGAAAAAGAGUUAAAGCGUAACGAGUUUCUUCAAAGACGUUUGCAAAAAAAACAGCAAAGACAAAACAAACUUGAAAAAGAAAAGUUAUCACAAGUUUCAUCGGAAAAAGUCCAAAAAUGGAUUGAGCAAAAAAAAAAAGAUGAUCUAAAAAAAAUGAAGCAUUUACACCCUGCGUUUGAAGAAGAAAGAAUAAAACUGUUGAAAAUUGAAAAACAAUUAAAUACGCAACAAAUGCAAAUGGACGGUAACGAAAAAAGAUUUCGUUUCUCAACUGCAAAGCAUAAAUCCAAUUGUCUCCAAGAAAACAGCAGUACUAGCAACACUUAUCUUUUAAAUAGACCCUCAAACCCUGUAGUCUACAUAUCUGUAGAAGCAUUUACUUGCGCAGUUAUUAACGAAGCAAUUAACGAGUUGGAUAUGUCUUUACGAGUUAAAUCUGCGAGAUUAGGGCGUUCAAAAUCUGGAUUGCUUGAUCCAAAAACUAGUGAAAGAACACCAAGAGCUCCGACUGUCUUAAAAUCACACACAAAAGUUGAAAGUUUUAAUCAUGCAAUAACUCGUCCAGCUUGGAGAAUAACCAUACCUGGAUUUUCAAGAACAUUUGAAGAAUGGUUGUUGGCGAAAAAAGGUCUUGAUCGAAUUAAAGCUCGAGAGAGAAUAACUAAACAUUACUAUGACGAACUUGAAAAAGAAAUAAUAAAAAAAGAGAGAGAAAAACUUGGGAGCGAACGAUUGAGCUCUAGAAAAAGAACUCAAUCUGCAUUUAAUCCGUACAUAUUAUCUACUCAAUCAAGCACUGAAUAUAUGUAUCUAGCAUUGUAGUACUUUAAACGUAUAACAAUAUGAUUAAUGUUGAGUAUGAGAAUUAUUCUCAAUGACUUUCAAUAAUUGACUGUUGAUUAAUAUAAAAGAUUAAUUAGAUUUUAUUCUCCAUUUGUAAGGAUCAUACAUGUUAAUUUUGCAUUGUAUCUUAUUACUGAACGAGCAACCAAAAUAACAGAACGAAACCACCUCCAAAUAUCAGAACCACACCACCUUUAAAUAUCAGAACCAUCAGAGCCAUCUUGUAAAUAUCCGAUUUUAUUAGAGGAGUUGCGGGAUUAGUUUCGGCUUUGAUGACCAUCAUUUAAAAAUUUCAAUAUUUACGAAAGUGACCAGUUGAACGUUUGUACAGACAAAUAAAGAAACGCAUGACAAAACAUGUAGAACAAGUAUUAUAAUUUUAUUAUAGCUUUAUUAGCUGUUUAUUAAAAAUUGCGCUAUUAUAAACAGGUUAUUGAUAAUUUUAGAACAAAUAUAAGUAAAAAACGUUCACGAGUCACAGCUCUAUCAGCUCCAAAUACAAUUUUAACAGAA